GAUGAAGAACGCAGCGAAAUGCGAUACGUAAUGCGAAUUGCAGAAUUCCGUGAGUCAUCGAAUCUUUGAACGCACAUUGCGCCCUCUGGUAUUCCGGAGGGCAUGCCUGUUCGAGCGUCAUUAUCAACCCUCAAGCUCGGCUUGUCGUUGGCUCCCACCGUUGAUGAAGCGGUGGAUCCGAAAGAUAAUGGCAGAGUCCGUGGGACCCUGGAUGCAGCGAGCUCUUUGGCACGCAUCUGGACGAUCUGCGGGCUCGGUCUGAACCAUUCAAUUCUCUGGUUGACCUCGGAUCAGGUAGGGAUACCCGCUGAACUUAAGCAUAUCAAUAAGCGGAGGA
rnacentral:misc_RNA from 1 species